rnacentral:rRNA from 1 species
GUCGAGCGGAAACGAGGAUAGCUUGCUAUCCGGCGUCGAGCGGCGGACGGGUGAGUAAUGGUUGGGAACUUGGCCUAGUGAGGGGGAUAACAGUUGGAAACGACUGCUAAUACCGCAUAAUCUCUAUUCCUUGAAAAGAAUGGAGCAAAGGAGGGGAUCUUCGGACCUUCCGCACUGGGAUAGGCCCAAUUGGGAUUAGCUAGUUGGUGGGGUAAUGGCUCACCAAGGCGACGAUCUCUAGCUGGUUUGAGAGGAUGAUCAGCCACACUGGAACUGAGACACGGUCCAGACUCCUACGGGAGGCAGCAGUGGGGAAUAUUGCACAAUGGGGGAAACCCUGAUGCAGCCAUGCCGCGUGUAUGAAGAAGGCCUUCGGGUUGUAAAGUACUUUCAGCAAGGAGGAAGGUUUAGUAGUUAAUACCUGCUAGAUUUGACGUUACUUGCAGAAGAAGCACCGGCUAACUCCGUGCCAGCAGCCGCGGUAAUACGGAGGGUGCGAGCGUUAAUCGGAAUUACUGGGCGUAAAGCGCAUGCAGGCGGUUCGUUAAGUUAGAUGUGAAAGCCCCGGGCUUAACCUGGGAGUUGCAUUUAAGACUGGCGAGCUAGAGUCUUGUAGAGGGGGGUAGAAUUUCA